GCCUGGGUAGCUCAGUUGGUUGAGCGUCCGACUUCGGCUCUGGUAGGAUCUCACGGUUCGUGGGUUCGAGCCCCGCGUCAGGCU
rnacentral:tRNA from 1 species